GUCAGACCUAGGCUCUCGCAGAGAACUGCAUCGCGCUCCCAGCUCUGCUGCCUCGGUGCGGGGACGGGGCUCUGCAUGAGGACUGGGAAUGUAAGUCCCGGGCCUGGACAGGCGCCCCUGGGAGCUAGCCUGGAGGAGAUUCAGUAGAAGGCUGAGGAGUCGGCUUGGAGGGUCUCGGCAAGGCGGCGCGGAUGGAGAUGAAGCUGCGAAGAAUGCUGAGAAAGAGCGGCCGGGGGCCUUGGAGGGAAGCUAGGGAAACGCUGCGGGGGCAGCCGAGGCCGUCGGCGCCCCGGGAGAAGAGACCUUCACUGCUUCUAUCAGUCACCAUAUCUGAAUCUUGGCUUGCCACUCAAUCCUCCAAUAUCGACCAACAACAGGAGAUUCUCUCUAUCUGAGGGGGGAGGUGUGUUUCCCUGACUAGACUCUAAAUACAAAUCCUCCACUUCUCCAUCUGUCUCUCCAGUGAUCUCAGAGGCAUGGUCUUAACACCGCGCACAGUUCCUUGCAAGUUGAAGAGUAGACCCAAAUGAUCAGUUCUAAAAUUCUAUUCUUAUUGAAGAUUACUGGUGGAAAUAUCA
rnacentral:lncRNA from 1 species